rnacentral:lncRNA from 1 species
GUAAUCCCCCAGCUCGUUCGUUACGUCUCAGUCGGUUCUUCUCCGCCUCAAGAAGACCUCGGCGAUCGAGAACUCCCGAUGGCUCUGGAAUGCCCCUUCCCCCAACAGUAAAUAAAGGAGGUAGUAGUAAUCCCUCGUCUUGUCCACGACGCUCUGACGACCUUUCCCCUGUCUCUGUCGGUUCUCCUACGCCCUCAAGAAGACCUCAGGUGACGACGACAUCGGUCCUGUGUACCCCGCCGCCUACUCCCUCCCCUAGUAUCAGCAGGUUGUCUCGCCCGAUCCUCUCUUUGUUUCCGUUUCUCGUUGGGUAGCCGCGAGUAUAAUGAUAUCUUCUUCUUGAAAGACCCGUUCCUUGUUGGUUUUAUUUGAUAAAAUCUUGAUCUCCCGUUGGAAUCCGAGAUGCAUUUCGUUGUUGCUGGAUGGUUUGAUGUUGUUUCCUAGGAUGCGUGAAUCUAAAGAAAUUUCGUAUAGUUUCGUUUAUCAUUCAUGGUAUAUAAGCCUAAGAGAUAUCAAGGCUCUCCCUCUUUCCAUUAAAUUUAAAGGAUCUUUUGAAUCUUUCCUUCUUUGUUUGUUCUCUUUCCUUUGUACGCAAGAAGAGUUUCUUGUUUUGAGAUUAAUAACGAAGGAGCAUGAUAUUGAUGCCUAGUGUUGUUACCAGCUGAAAUUUCUGGGUACAAGAGUGGACGAUUGUUCAUAUUGUUAGUAAUGAACGCGGUGGUAACAAUUUCCAGGUGUCAGCAUUUUCGCAGAUAUUUGGAAUAGAAACUAAUUUGAAGAGGUACCCAACAUAAGAAAGAUUUAGUUCGUCUUUCGGCUGAGAGUAAUCCGAAUUACUUUGAUUUGGAUUAGGGUUUAUUUUAUCAAGAACAUCUCAUACAGACAAUUCUUUAAUUUCUUUCAUAAUGACUGUUCCUACGAUCUUUUGUCUUCUUUUUUUUUUUGCGUUGAUACUGUGCAAAACAAUAAAUCCUACGCUAUAAAUGUUCUUUUCUCAUAAUUUCUUGUGCGUCAACCACAAUUUUGGUUUGCGCGAAACCAUAUGCUAUAUACAUGGGAACUUAUAAUUGUUGGAGACACUGUAUCAUAACGGUCAUGCAUGUUUCGGGAAGAAAGCACCCUUAAUUAAUUUGAGAAAAUUGUAACAGGAUUUUCGUGCUGGAAGAGGGUUUUUAUAGCGACGGUUACUAUUGCCUGAUGUGUCUGCCCGUAGAGAGUAGGAUCGUACUUCUGAUAGCGUCUGACAUCGAUGUUGGCGUGGCGCGAGGGAUCGAGCCUGAGCAGGAUGUUAAUGUGCUUCGGUCGACGUUUCGAUCCGUGUUGAUCAGGUGCUGUCAGGUCAACAGAGACAUGAGGCGUAAUCUGGGACAACUGACGUUACCCGAGUCUUAUCAUCAUUAUUAUCCUCAUCAAUAGUCCGCCAUGAAACAUAUGCAAAUGACAUGAAGACCCUAAGAUUCUGAUAAUAAUAGAAAUCUUGAUCCGAGUUGCCAUUAAAUCGCGGAAGAUCGAUCCAAAACGAAACCCUACGCUCCAAAAUGUUUGAAAUCGUGAUCGGAGGACCCAUAAGCUAUCACUUGCGUUCCUAGCAAAAGAAAAAUCAGGAUCUAACGCCCACAGAACUCCCAACUCCAUAUUUCCGAGAACUGAGACAUAUCGAACGAGAUCAACCAACAAACUAGGCUUCAAGAUUCAAGAUAAGCGAAACCCAGACGGGAAGAAGGGCCAAAUACAAAUCGCGUAUGGUAGGGAGGUUCUCUAGGCUUCAAGAUUCAAGAUAAGCGAAACCCAGAUCGAAAGAAGAAUCGGAUAUGCUUGGAAGGUUCUCAAGGCUUCAAGAUUCAGGAUAAGCAAAACCCCGAUCGAAAGAAGCAUUAACAGGAAUCGGCUUGAAGAUUCAAGAAAAACAAAACCCAGAUCGAAAGAAGCAUCAACAGAAAUC